rfam:Oryza barthii chromosome 4, whole genome shotgun sequence.
AAAAAGACAUACCGUAGGUUUUCGUGUUCAAUUUUGACUAUUCGUUUUAUAUGAAAUUUUUUUAUAAUUUAUAUUUUUAUUUUUAUUAGAUGAUAAAACAUGAUUAAUAUUUUAUGCGUGACUUGUCUUUGUAAUUUUUUUCAUAACUUUUUUUAAAUAAGACGGACGGUCGGAAACCAGGUUGGACGGAGGGAGUAGACCGUACA